UACGAAGGGGGCUAGCGUAGUUCGGAUUUACUGGGCGUAAAGCGCACGUAGGCGGAUCGUUAAGUUAGGGGUGAAAUCCUGGAGCUCAACUCCAGAACUGCCCUUAAUACUGGCGAUCUCGAGUCCGGAAGAGGUGAGUGGAACUCCUAGUGUAGAGGUGGAAUUCGUAGAUAUUAGGAAGAACACCAGUGGCGAAGGCGGCUUACUGGUCCGGAACUGACGCUGAGGUGCGAAAGCGUGGGGAGCAAACAGG
rnacentral:misc_RNA from 1 species